rnacentral:lncRNA from 1 species
AUGUUUCUUCCUUUGUCAUUUCUUUACACAUUGCUUUGUCUUUGUGUCUUUGUGUGUCAAACUCCUUUCUUCCCUUGGUCACACUCUCUUGUUUAUUCCCUGUCUUGUUCUCAUUUCAUCAAUUGUUGUCACCUGGCCCCUGUUUACUUUCCUCCAUUUAUAUUGUUUCUUUUCUUCCUCUUGUGUUGGCUGGUUUGUCUUGUUAUUGAGUUAUUCACUCUUGCCCUGUUAUUUUCUGCGAUUUUGUGUCCAUGUUGUAGUUUUUGCUUUUGAUUUCUCUUUUUUGUUUUUUUAUUGAUUUUCAUUGAUGUUGCUAAUAUCUACUCAUAAUGUUUUCUUUUUCUGUUUAUAAGGAUCCUUUCUAGUCUUGUAUUAUCAUUAUAGCUUUUAUUUAAAACUAGUAGUCUAUUCUUACAUAUUUCCUUAUUUGUGUAGUUUUUCAUUUCUUCUUUCUCUUUCUUUAUUUUUUCCCUUUUAUUAUAUCAUGUUGUUUCUCCUUGUGUUGUGCCGAGUUGUGUUUUGUUGUCUUGAGUGGUGUCUUGUUGUGUGUUCUUGUGUGUUUGUGCUGUGUUUACCCUCCAGUCCUGCUUUAACAGCCUGAUGCCUGUAUCACAAAUACUCUGUUUGCAGUAUGUUUGUAGUCGAUCAAACAUAUUAGAUGCACUUGUGGAUGUAGAAAAACAAAGUUCUUUAAAGAUAAAGUGUGAAUGCUCUAAUCCAGGGGUGCCCACCCUUGUCUGGGGUUCUUGUCAAAUGACAAAUUCAGUGAGAUCUGUCAGCCCACCACCCCCCCCCCCCUCCAGAUAAAACUUGUGGGGACCAACACAUAUAUAUGUAUUCAAUUAAUCUAAUAAUUAAAUAAAAAAUGCUCAAUUAUGAUAUUCUUAAAUUUUAACAUUACUUUGAAAGCACCAGGGUGUAGUCUGGAAAGGUCCACGAGCCUGGGCUCAAACUCAGGACAAACAAAGCGCAACUGCGUUUUGUACUACACUUCCCAAAAUGUUAUCGGAGGUGACAGCUGUCAUUCUGAAAAAUUUUAAAGAUUGACUGCCCUACUAGAAAUACUCCAUAAUCUAUAGUGUCUGGUGACUUAUUACAGCUUCACUCCACUGUGUUCAGUUUCCUGCGGGAUCGCUGUCUUGGAUGGUGAUGUUGAGUAGUGUCCCUCCACACCAUAUCUAUGGGAAGGAACCAAGGUGUCCGGUGGUGUAAUGCUCUCACUCACCCUUGCUCAGCUGAGUCACUCUUACCAUAGCGAAUACCUGCUUUAUAUCUCUCACUGACAGUGAAGAUCAAUAGCGAAGCUUUGCUCUGUGGGUGACGGUUGGGGUCCAGUUCAGGUUCUCGCGGGAGGCAAACUUU